rnacentral:rRNA from 1 species
UACAGAGGUCCCGAGCGUUGUUCGGAUUCACUGGGCGUAAAGGGUGCGCAGGUGGAUUGGCAAGUUUGAUGUGAAAGCCCCGGGCUUAACCCGGGAAUGGCAUUGAAUACUGCUGAUCUGGAGGAUCGGAGGGGGACUGGAAGUUCUUGGUGUAGCAGUGAAAUGCGUAGAUAUCAAGAGGAACACCAGUGGCGAAGGCGAGUCCCUGGACGAUACCUGACACUGAGGCACGAAAGCCAAGGGAGCAAACAGG